rnacentral:rRNA from 1 species
CGCGCAAAUUAUUCAAUGGAAACAAUUUUCCGAAAUAGUGACAAAAAAUAUCAAUGCUGGAUACUAUGUAUUUAGUAAUUGGAAUGAGUACAAUUUAAAUCCCUUAACAAGUAACAAUUAGAGGGCAAGUCUGGUGCCAGCAGCCGCGGUAAUUCCAGCUCUAAUAGCGUAUAUUAAUAUUGUUGCAGUUAAAAAGCUCGUAGUUGAAAUUUGGAACUUUAUUGUAUUGGUUUAUCUUUUGAUGAACUGUAUGAUGGGUUUCUUCCUACUAGAGUUCGAUUCUGUUCUUAACUGAAUGGGGUAGCUAUCUUUCGGGGUGGUCAGUUGGUUGUUAUAUCUCCACUAAUGAGCAGAGAAGGGUUAAACCUUUGAAGUAAGUUAUGUGGGUCAAGGUAUGGUGAUUAAUUGGAGUUCUAGUUCAUUUACUUUGAGAAAAUUAGAGUGUUUAAAGCAGCCUCUUG